rnacentral:rRNA from 1 species
GGACCUACGGGACGCAGCAGUGGGGGAUAUUGCACAAUGGGGGGAACCCUGAUGCAGCGACGCCGCGUGGGUGAAGGAGUGCUUCGGCAUGUAAAGCCCUAUCGGCAGGGAAGAAGCAAGACGGUACCUGACUAAGAAGCCCCGGCUAACUACGUGCCAGCAGCCGCGGUAAUACGUAGGGGGCGAGCGUUAUCCGGAUUUACUGGGUGUAAAGGGGGCGCAGACGGCAGCGCAAGCCAGGAGUGAAAGCCCGGGGCCCAACCCCGGGACUGCUCUUGGAACUGCGCGGCUGGAGUGCAGGAGGG